AAAAAAGGAAGCUAAUGUUUCGUUUCGGCAAAUUGUUUCCAUUUUGAGUAGUUUUUACUAAUAAUACGUGGAAGGUGACGGUAGUGUUAGUGUUAACUUCCUGCUAACGCUAACGUUAGCCCAAGCUACCGGUGGAUGCUAAUGCUGGCGCUAACUGCUCAUACUCUUAAAUCUCCUGUGGAAGCAAACAACGCCAGCGGCCGAAGAAGCAAGUGCAUCGGAAGGCAGAUCAAAACUAUUUCUAGUGGAUAGUAGACUGUAGGGAAGUAUUUCUACUGAGAAUGUAACUUUAAACACAAAGCGAGCUAACUAGCUAGGACAGGGAUGACACAAACAGCUGCACAUGCUGUCGUUCAUGGUCACUGAGCUGAACUCGUCCAGGAGUUGGACUUGGACUUGAUCGAUGAUUUCCUCUAAAAUUCUGGAAGAACGUCGUUUAGAUCAGUACAUUGUCAGGAGUAAAGGAGUUGUUGACCACUGGGAGGAGGCUCAGAUCUUCAGAGCAGGGACUUCUGGCUGGUCCAAGGUCAAGCCUGACAACGAUAGAUAAUCGCUUUGCUGUUGUUGCUCCUCGACUGUGGUACAGCAGUGAUUCGUACACUCUUCUCACUGGCCUUAUCCACUUGCAUCUGGGGCCAAAGUUUGGUGUUCAGGAUCAAUCGGAGGCUGCCCUGGGUCCUCAUCACUGGACGAUCUUAGAAGCAUGUGAAUGGGCUCCCCCUUGUGGUCACCGUCAGACAGUCUGAAUUAUCAGUGGAUUUAAUCACCUUAAGUAAAAUGUCAUUAAUUUUUAACUGAGAAAAAUGUUCCUGAUUUCUCUCAUCAUCCCGGGAUUUUCUUGCAUUCAACUCACCAUGAAAGCAAGCAUUCAAACCAUGCACUGGCUGCACCACAAGAAACUGAUCCUGUGCACAAUAACACCAAGUUGUGUUCUUUUUUUCACC